rnacentral:rRNA from 1 species
UACGUAGGGGGCAAGCGUUGUCCGGAAUCAUUGGGCGUAAAGAGCGUGUAGGCGGUUCGGUAAGUCCGCUGUGAAAGCCCAGGGCUCAACCCUGGGAUGCCGGUGGAUACUGUCGGGCUAGAGUCCGGAAGAGGCGAGUGGAAUUCCUGGUGUAGCGGUGAAAUGCGCAGAUAUCAGGAGGAACACCAAUGGCGAAGGCAGCUCGCUGGGACGUGACUGACGCUGAGACGCGAAAGCGUGGGGAGCAAACAGG